AUCAAUGGAACCAGAGAGAAUCGACUCAGCUGCUCGAUCCUGGUCGUCCUACUAUCGAUCAGGUACGAAUCAAUGUGGAUCCAACGCUCAAUGUCAAUCAAGAAUACUACCGGUAGUAUUCAGGGGUGCAAUUGGUCGCUUCCGCUUGCCGUAGCAUUUUCGCUUAGAGGAGACCGCGGUCAUCUAACUGUCUCUUCUCUAUACGUUUGGUCUAUAGCAUGCAUGAUUCGUCACUUGAUUUUGAGUCCAAGGAUUAAACAUACCGGUGCGUGAGAAAUUGGUUUCUUGAUUUGAGUUAGGUUGUUGUAAAUUGUCACCAUGAAUCCAUGAUCUUCUUACAUCUUUGGUUUUGAAAAGUUUCUCGGUUUACAUUUUCAGUUUCCGUUUGACCAGGCACCUAACAUAUGCAGGAGUAAUACACCUGAUCAUCGACCCUCUUUUUCCAUCUCGGCUAAUACUAGCUACCGCUAUAGUUCUGCUGGGGAACAGGGGGGCAUUGCUAUGCUUCUGACAUGAUUUUGUAACAUGUGUCUAUUAGUUUAUAGACAAAUUUUCUAGUUCACUAUGCAUUCUUUUUGUUGAGUUUAUUUCAUUACUCCUCUUACCAUGGCUUAAAUACUAAAAACAGAUAUUGAAGGAUGACAGAACGACCGUUGAUCCAUUUCAAAUUCAAGGGAACCAUCAACAGUAUCAACUAAUGAGGCAUGUAGAGAUUUCGAGGUGGACCUAACACACUUACAAUUGCUCACACCUUGUUCUCCACCUUCUUCACUUCCUUAUUCUCUACUACUCAAGGUGUGAGGCAAGGGCCUCUAUUUAUAGGACUACAUGGCCAUUGGAUCUUUGACAUGUGUCAAAAUCUUAGCCAUUGAUACAAAAUAUCUAAAGCCUUCCACACACUUCUACAUAAAUAUCUAGGUACCAGAAGGUUUCCUAUUUAUUUAUUUUAAACUCCUAUUCUAGAGUAUUCCAAAGCUUCUACAUAAUUCUUCAUGCAUAUCUAAACACUAGAAGGUUCCCUCUUUUAUUUAUUUUAUAUUCUAGAGUAUUCCAUAGUAAUGUCUUCUUUCUUGUAAUAUUGAGAACACUCUAGAAGCUUGCAUUGUAUUCUCCAACACUCCCCCUCAAUGCAAAGCUUCUUUGGUGACCAUGCCAAGAGCUUCUCGAAAUUUCUCAAACUUUGAUUUGUUGAGACUCUUGGUGAGGAUAUCUGUAGUCUGGUCUUCUGUCUUCGUUGGCACCACCUCAAUUUCCCCCUUAAGGACCUUUUCUCUGAUCUUUUGGAGUUUGAUGAAGGUCUUCCAUCAAUUGUUUAAGCCAGGUGCUUUCUUGUGCUGCCACUGCCGCUGAUCGAUAUUCUGCUUCAGUACUUGACAGUGCCACUGUAGGUUGCCUUUUGUUGCACCAUGUUAUGGCUCCCGAUCCAAGACUGAAGAGAUAUCCAGUGGUUGAUCUCCGUGUAUCACAAUCUCCGGCAUAGUCGGCGUCACAAUAACCAAUAACCUGGCAUUCUUUUGUUUUCUUAUAUAGGAUGCCAUAAUUUAAGGUGCUUUUGACAUACCUGAGUAUUCGCCUUAUUGCAUCAAGGUGAGGCUUCUUUGGUGUGCUCAUAUAUCGGCUUGCCACUCCAACGGCAUAGGAAAUAUCUGGCCGACUAAGUGUCAGAUAGAUAAGACUCUCGACCAGUUGCCGAUACAUGGUUGCAUCCUCCAAGUUCUUUCCUUUGUCUUCUUGAAGUCUUCUGUUAGGAUCCAUAGGAGUGGAAAUAGGUUUGCAGUCAAGCAUCCCAUACCUCUUAAGAAGGUCCUUCGCAUACUUUUGUUGGCCUAAGAAUAUCCCAUUCUUAGUGUGCUCCACCUCAAGUCCAAGGAAGUGUCUUAACUCACCAAGUUCCUUCAUUUGAAAUCUCACGGAAAGAUUUUCCCUUGUCCUUUCUAUCUCCUCGGAGUAAUUUUCCGUGAUGAUCAAGUCAUCAACGUAGACUAGAACUAUUGCUAGUCUUCCUUCCUUGUCCAUCACAAAUAAACUAGAGUCUGAUGGAGCAACUUUAAAACCAUUGUUUACUAGGAACUCACCGAUCUUUCCGUACCAUGCUCUUGGUGCUUGCUUUAGCCCGUAGAGUGCCUUCUUUAGUUUGCAGACAUGUUCGGAGUAUUUCUUGCUCUCAAACCCCUUUGGCUACUCCAUGUAAAUCUCCUUGUCAAGUUCUCCAUGCAGAAAGGCAUUCUUGACAUCCAUCUGCCACAACUCUCAAGACUUGCUGGCAGCCAAUGCAAGCAAGACUCGAACUGUUGUGAUUUUUGCCACCGGACUGAAUGUUUCUUCGUAAUCCAGUCCAUACUCCUGCGAGAAACCUCGUGCCACAAGUCGAGCUUUAUACCUUUCAAUUGAGCCAUCUGUUCGGGUUUUCACUUUGUAGACCCAUUUGCAGGAUAUUGGCUUCACGUCCUUUGGCUUUGGCACUAAGUCCCAUGUUUGGUUUUCCUUUAGUGUCUUAAUCUCUUCUUCCAUCGCCUUCUGCCACUCAGGGCCUCGUGCUGCUUCUUCAUAGGAAGAUGGCUCAAUAGGUAAAGACUCAUCGGCAAGAGCAGCAUUAGCGUACCUUGGAUUGGGCUUCCUGGGUCUUGUUGAUCUUCGAAGUUCUUGAUCAUGCUCCUCGGUUUGUGGCUCUUCAGGUUGGUGUAUGCCAGUCUUCCACGGACUCUUGGUCUUACUUGGUGAGCUCCUUUCUCCUUCACUUGGGGUUUCUAGCUUCUGAUCUAUUUCUUCUUCUAUAACCUCCUCCACGUCAGGUGAUUCAGGAAUCUCUUCUUUCUUAGGGGACCACCAUGAAGAAGCUUCAUCGAACACAAUGUUCCUUGAGGUGUGACACUUACCUGUGGUUGGAUCACAGCACCUCCAUCCUUUUCGAGCAUCAUCGUAACCAACGAAGAUGCACCUCUUCGCCUUCUUUUCAAACUUGGUUCUUAGGUGAUCUGGCACAAAGAUAUAGCAUACGCAACCAAAUACCUUGAAGUGGCUGAUGGCUGGUUUCAUCCUCCAAAGCUUCUCAUGUGGUGAUUUGAACCCCAACCUCACUUGUGGUAGCCUAUUAAUCACAUGAGUUGCAGUCCUCGUACACUCGGCCCAGAAUCUUCCAGGAACAUUUUUGGCAUGCAACAUACUCCGACAAGUUUCCGCAAGGUGACAAUUCUUGCGGUCCGCUACUCCAUUUUGUUGUGGAGUAUUAGGGCAAGUUAACUGCCUUUUUAUCUUAUUUUUCUUGAGAUAGAUGGUGAACUCAUUGGAUAAAUAUUCUCUCCCAUUGUCAGUGCGUAGGCACCGUAUCUUAUACUCGAGUUCACCUUCUAUCAUAUCCUUAAAUUCCUUAAAUUUCAUGAAGGUCUCAGACUUCUCCUUCAUAAAGUAUACCCAAACGUAUCUUGAGAAGUCGUCGAUGAAGGUCACCAUGUAUCGCAUGCCUCCAAGUGAUAUUUGCUUGACUGGGCCAAAGACAUCUGAGUGUAUGAGCUCUAGAGGUACCUUUGACUGAUGCUACGACUCCUUGUAUGGCAAUUGGUGGGCCUUGCCAUACUGACAUCCAGCACAGACCGUGUCUGUACGGAUAUCAAGAUCAGGAAGCCCCUUCACUACGUGCUUCUCCGUCAUCUCCUUCAACUUGUGGUAGCUGACGUGUCCAAGCCGCGCAUGCCAAAGAUCAGCUGUCUCAUUCUUCCGAGUCUUGUCUACGUAUGCUGACUCAGCAGAGAGCACAAAGAGUGAGUCUCUCUUUUUCCCUUCCAUGAUGGGUGUGCCGAUCACCUUGAGCCUUCUGAAGAUUGCUACUUCUUGUGGACCAAACAGAACAUACUUCCCUUCUGCUGUCAGUUGAGGUACUGACAACAGAUUCUUCUUCAAGCCUGGGACGUGAUAGACUCUCUCAAGUUGGAGUUGUUGAGGACCAUAUCUUGGAACGGCUGUCUUUCCAACAUGGGAAAUCGAUAGCUUGGAGUUGUUGCCUGUCAGCACCAUUUUUCCUCCCUUGUACUCGGUCAUAUCUUGCAGCUUGUUGUCAUCAUUAGUCAUAUGGUUGGAGCACCCAGAAUCAACGAUCCAAUCAUCUUUAUAGUUGAUUUUUGGAUCCUUGAUUGCUGCAAGGGCUGGCGCCUCCAUGUUCUCCUCCAACUCUUCUUCAUCCGUUGCAAAGACUGGUGGCUCCAUGUCUUCCUCCAACUCUUCUUCAUCCAUCGCAAAGGCUGGUGCCUCCAUAUCUUCCUCCAACUCUUCUUCAUCCAUUGCAAGGGCUGGCACCUCCAUGUCUUCCUCCAAGUCUUCUAUGUCAACCUCUUGAGAGUAUCCAGCUUCGGCGUCCCAUUCUUCUUCGCUCAUGGAUGCUUCUAGAGUGAUCUCCUCUUUCUCCUUUGUGGUGGCCACAUUCCCUUCAUAACGCCUUCUUGGAUAUCGACAUUCUCGAGUAAGGUGACCUUUCUUACCACAAUUGGAGCAUCCAUCAUUUGACCUCCUUGGAAAUCGGCAUUCUCAAGCAAAGUGACCUGCCUUGCCACAAUUGAAGCAUCCAUCACUUGGUCUCCUUGCAUUCUUCUCGUACCAUUUUGGUCCUUGUCUUUCUCGUUGGUCUCCCCCUGAAGAGUUGCUUCUCUCCUUUGGAUGUUCUUUCCCACCUUCUGUCCACUUAGGCUUGGGUUUCCAUUGUUUUUGGUGUGGGCUCUUCUUCUUAGUGAAAAGUGCCUCCUCUUCUUCCUUUAUGGUUAUGCUCCCCAUCUUCUUAGCUAACUCCUCUUGAUUUACCAAUAAAUUCUCAAACUCCACUACUGAAGGUGGAGUAGGCCAUCCCAUCACCGCAGCCAUAAACCCAUUGUAUUCGGGUCUAAGACCGUGGAUGAUGAUUCUCUUCAUCCGAGCCUCGCUCCUCAUCCGGGGCAAGUUGGGAUAUCUCACGGCAAAUAAACUUCACCUUCGAAAAAUAUUGACUGAUGGAUAGAUUGCCUUGUGAGAUACCUGCGAGCUCAUUUUCCAAGAGCUGGAGUCGUGCUUCAUUUUUCCUUGAGAAUAGCUUCGCCAAAGUCUCCCAUGCCUCCUUAGGUGUCUUCUCAUCACGGAUGUGCUCCAAUAGGUCCUCUUCGAUGGUCGUCUUCAAUACAAACAUGGUCUUCCCUGACUUGAUCUUCCAUUUCCGCAAGGCAUCAGCAUUCUCUGGAGGAAAUGCUUCGGUGCCCGCAACGACCUCCCAUAGGUCCUGACCUUGUAGGUAGAACUCCAUGCAGGUCUGCCAAUAGCCAUAGUUGUGGCUAUUAAGCUUCCUGAUCCCGCUGCUUGAGCUAGCAAGAUCCGCCAUGGUGACUUGCGCCCAGCGUCAAGUAAGCUUUGGUCCCGGACCAGCUUCACAGUCCCAGACUGUGCACCAGCAGAGUCUCCCCUCAGCGCCUUCUUGUUGCACCAAACAAAGCAAGCACCCCGUGCUUACAACUCUUCCUCCAAAUGACAGUCCCGGACCGCCUGCUCUGAUACCAACUGUAGAGAUUUCGAGGUGGACCUAACACACUUACACUUGCUCACACCUUGUUCUCCACCUUCUUCACUU
rnacentral:lncRNA from 1 species